rnacentral:rRNA from 1 species
AGAGUUUGAUCCUGGCUCAGGACGAACGCUGGCGGCGUGCUUAACACAUGCAAGUCGAACGGAAAGGCCCUUUCGGGGGUACUCGAGUGGCGAACGGGUGAGUAACACGUGGGUGAUCUGCCCUGCACUUCGGGAUAAGCUUGGGAAACUGGGUCUAAUACCGGAUAGGACUACGGCCUGCAUGGGUUGUGGUGGAAAGCUUUUGCGGUGUGGGAUGGGCCCGCGGCCUAUCAGCUUGUUGGUGGGGUGAUGGCCUACCAAGGCGACGACGGGUAGCCGGCCUGAGAGGGUGUCCGGCCACACUGGGACUGAGAUACGGCCCAGACUCCUACGGGAGGCAGCAGUGGGGAAUAUUGCACAAUGGGCGCAAGCCUGAUGCAGCGACGCCGCGUGGGGGAUGACGGCCUUCGGGUUGUAAACCUCUUUCACCAUCGGCGAAGCCCAUGAUUUUUGUUGUGGGUGACGGUAGGUGGAGAAGAAGCACCGGCCAACUACGUGCCAGCAGCCGCGGUAAUACGUAGGGUGCGAGCGUUGUCCGGAAUUACUGGGCGUAAAGAGCUCGUAGGUGGUUUGUCGCGUUGUCCGUGAAAUUCCCUGGCUUAACUGGGGGCGUGCGGGCGAUACGGGCAGACUGGAGUACUGCAGGGGAGACUGGAAUUCCUGGUGUAGCGGUGGAAUGCGCAGAUAUCAGGAGGAACACCGGUGGCGAAGGCGGGUCUCUGGGCAGUAACUGACGCUGAGGAGCGAAAGCGUGGGGAGCGAACAGGAUUAGAUACCCCGGUAGUCC